GAUGCUGUUACAGUUCUGUCUUCCUUUCUGAUAAUCUCCAGAUGGUCACAGUGAUGCCUUCCUGGUUAGCCAGCUGCUCCAGGUGGGAAACCGUUUUCAGCCCAAGACCCAUGCUCCCUUCUGGGCAAUCUUCUGGGGGCCACAUGCAAUGGUGGACAGGGCCAGAGGCAAACGUGGAAAAUGAUUAACUCCUCUGAACAUGAGGGUCAACUCCCAGCUGAUUCAGGAGUGGGCGUGUCGAUGGGAUGGCUCCUCCCUAUCCUCUAUGAUUCUCCUUUGUAGAUCAGUUGAUAUUGCAUAGCUGCUGUGGUGGGUGGAGUCCAGGAGGCAAACGUGUAAGCAAAUGGUAACAAGGCUUGCUUUCUUUACAACUUUUUAGAAGAUAAUAAAUGUUACAUACUACUUUGUAUAAUAAGAGAACUGCUAGUGUGCAUAAGCAUUAUAUCCAUCCAGGUUACUGGAUGGCCUUGAGCUAGUCACAACCUCACAGGAAGGUUGUGAGGUUACAGUUCUGUUCUUUGAUCCUUGGAGGAAGGAUGGGAUUCAGAUAUUAUAGACAAAUCACCUAGUCACUCAAAGGCUCCUUAUUUUGGGGAUCUUGUAGAAAAGAUUGGAAACGUUCAUUUUUUUUAAAAAAAAAACUGUGCAUUCAUCCUGUUCCUGUUGACUUCAUUAUGUCAGAGAGGAGGCAAAAGUUGC